CAUCCUAAUAAUUUGGCAUAAAUAGGCCCAUGAAAUAGAUUCAACAGGUCAUGUUCUCCAAAGAAUGGUGUAACAGACCAAAGAAAUCAAAAUCCUACACCCCUGAGGAUGCAGUGGGACGGAUUGAAAUCACCAUGGUGAAUCUUGUCUCCCUGAAAUUGUAGUGGAGCAGAUUGAAGUCACACAUCUCAUCUCCUUAAAGUUACAGAGGAGUAGAUUGAAGUUACAGAUCUUAUCUCCCUGAAGUUGCAGUGGAAUAGAUCGAAGAAUAGCAAACCUUAUCCCCCUGAAGUUGCAGUGGAGCAGGUUAAAGUUACAAGUUUUAUCUCCCUGAAAUUGCAGUGGGGCAGACUGAAAAUAGCAAAUCUUAUUUCCCUGAAGUUGAGUGGAACAGGUUAAAGCUACGAGUUACAAGUCCUAUACCUCUGAAGUUGCAGUGGGUCGGAUCAAAUCCACCAUGGCAAAUCUUAUCUCUCUAAAGUUGCAGUAGAGCAUAUUAAAGUCAUUAACAUUAUCUCUCUAAAGUUGCAUAAAGCAGAUUAAGGCUAUAAAUCCCAUACCUCCGAAGUUGCAGUAGGUCGGAUCAAGUUACCAUGGUGAAUCUUAUCUCCCUGAAGUUGCAGUGGAGCAGAUUGAAAUCACAAACCCCAUCUCCCUGAAGAUGCAGUGGAGCAGGUUGAAAUUACCAAGUCUUAUCUCUUUGAAGUUCCAGCGGAGUAGAUUGAAGCUACAAAUCUCUUCUCCCUGAAAUUGCAUUGGAACAAAUCGUAGCAACAAUUCCUAUACCUCUGAAGAUGUAGAAGAUUGGAACGAGGCUAUUCGAUGAAUAGAAGAAGUCAAGAUUCGGCAAGACUAGGCAAAAUUGGCUCUUUUAAGGUCUUUGCUCUAUUCUCGUUACACGAUAAUAAGCAAAGAGGGGCAGCUGUAAUAGCCAAUUUUGGCCCAAACCAAAAAACCCAAAAUAAACCCACCAAAUAAUAAAAAAUCCAAACUUCAAGUCCUUUUACAACAUAUGUAGCCCAAAAUUAAAACCAGACCCAUUACACAUCAAUUAACCCAAACCCACUACCCAGAUUUUAGCCCAAAACUACCCAAAUCCAAUAACCAAAAAACCCUAGUGGCCCAAAAUGGCCCACUAUCCUAAAUUUUUUUUCCAGCAAGCAGCAACCUAGCCGCAUGCCUUCAACCACCAGCCUCUGCCACUCGCGCCACCACCGCUCGGGGCACCAACCACCGGCCUCACACGCCUCUGACACACCUGCAAAGAGAGAUCCACACGCAAGCGAUACAAACAAUGAAGAAAAUAACAAAAAUGACAGAAAAAUGAAUACAAACAAAAAUAGAUCUCGGAUCCUGCUAUAAAAUCAAAAAUCAAAGCUUUGUAAUUUUUUUACACGCGCAUUUGAAUCAAAGAACAGAACAAAAAUUAAAGGUUGAUUUCUGAUUUUUUUUUCUUUGUUUUCAUUUCGUUUUUUAAUCUCUUUAAAUUUCUUUUUAUUUAUACUACAAAUCUAUUAAACAAAAGGGGCAUAAAAUCAAAAAAGAAGGGGACUUACCCGAAUCUAAGCGACCGUCGUCGGAGACAGCUUCUCCAUUGUCAGAUUCGACCCGAAGAGGUCGUAGGGGGUUCUUUCUUUGGAUCUUCUUAGGUCGAGGAAGCCUUCGCCGUUGAGUUCACUUUAAAAAGAGGUUAAAAACCCAACUUCACGUGGCCCCCCAACCACCGUCUACGGUGAGGACCACGGUGGCCUCAAGGAGCCACGACGACGGUGGCAAUGAGGGUCUCAAAACCCUAGCCGCAAGAAAGAGAGAGAGAGCAAGAAAGAGCUGCAAUUUUUUUAAAAAAAUACUAAGGCUAAAAUGAAAUGAUAAAAAAAUUUUGGGCCUUUAUACAGUUAAGAAACGGCAGCGCUUUUGGGUGUGUGUCCAGGCGCCAAAACGACACCGUUUUGGACCACCCGUGCGCGACCCGACCCGCUACUAAGGGGAUCCGCGCGUUUUUGAGUUAAGGGCUAUUUGCGCCCGUAGUCCCUUCGAUUUUGGGCUUGUUAUUUUAGGCCCCUUUUAUUAUUAUUUUUUUGUAAAUUCAAUUGUUUAAUUCUUUUGGUUUUUUGAUUGAGUCCUUGGCUCUCUGAUGCUUCGAAAACGGGCAUACAUCUUUGAAGUUGGGGAAUAAUUUCAUGCUUAGCCCUUGUUCUUUCAGGCGUGUCUUAUUUUAGGCAUUGCUUCCUUUUUUUGUUUUUUUAGAUAGGGCCCUUAAUUUUAAUCUUUUUUAAUUCGACCCUUAAUCUUAUAACAUUAAACUGUUUUUAUAUUUUACUUAUUAUAUAUACCCUUUUAUUUAUUUAUUUUAAACAGUUUUAUAAUGAUAUUUUAGGUUUUUAUUAAUUCUUUAAAAUUGCUUUACAAGUUCUUUUAACUUAUUUUAUUUAUGUUUUAAUGCUUUCUUGUAUUGUUUAUUAACGUUUUACACAUUAUU
rnacentral:lncRNA from 1 species